CCUCUACUGGGAUGUCAUGCAGGAGAACUAUAAGAAUGUGACCUCACUGGGGUUUCCAGUUUGCCAACCUGAUGUGAUCUCCCAGCUAGAACAAAGGGAAGAGCCCUGGGUCCCAGACCUCCAGGAUUCAGAGGAAAGAGAGAUCCUGAGAGCUCCCUGCACAGCAGGUGACACAAUGGUAUGUGAGAAAGAGGAACAGAAUUCUCAGCAGGAAAAUGUUGA